rnacentral:rRNA from 1 species
AACGAACGCUGGCGGCAUGCCUAACACAUGCAAGUCGAACGAGACCUUCGGGUCUAGUGGCGCACGGGUGCGUAACGCGUGGGAACCUGCCCUUAGGUUCGGAAUAACUCCCCGAAAGGGGUGCCAAUACCGGAUAAUGUCUUCGGACCAAAGAUUUAUCGCCUUUGGAUGGGCCCGCGUUGGAUUAGCUAGUUGGUAGGGUAAAAGCCUACCAAGGCGACGAUCCAUAGCUGGUCUGAGAGGAUGAUCAGCCACACUGGGACUGAGACACGGCCCAGACUCCUACGGGAGGCAGCAGUGGGGAAUAUUGGACAAUGGGCGAAAGCCUGAUCCAGCAAUGCCGCGUGAGUGAUGAAGGCCUUAGGGUUGUAAAGCUCUUUUACCCGGGAUGAUAAUGACAGUACCGGGAGAAUAAGCGCCGGCUAACUCCGUG